rnacentral:lncRNA from 1 species
GCAACGCGACCUUGGGACUGGGAGGGUCGUAUGGGCGGUGAUAAGCUGGACUAGAGGUUGCGCGGGGAGGCGGAGCCCGGAGCCGCCGUGCCUGGCGACAUGGGCGGCGAGGUAAGGGGCUAAAACCCUAGAAUUUUGGCAGUACCUUUAUCUGAAUCUGCUACCUCUUCUUCUAAAAUAAAUAAAUCUGCUACUACUUGUUUCCUCUGCAGUUCCGCUUGUGGAUUGCCCUCCUACUGGCUGGAUGGCAGGGACAAUGGAUGCUGAAGUGGUACUAUCCUGAUCAUCUACUGCCCUCUUUUUUUACCAUCUCGGUAGACCGGGCAUGAUGUUUAGUUAUUGUUUAGGUUCAGACAUCGACUGAACUGGUGAAUCCGACUACUUGAUGAGAAGAUAAGUACUACUCGUAGGCCUGCAUACUUUCAUCUGAACUUUCAGGUGGCCUGUCACCUGUCAGGUGGUGAAAUCAAUCAGUUAUACCCAUGAGCAAUGGUCUGCAUGAUAAUAUUUCAUAUUUGGUUUAGGCACCGAUGCAUAUAUGUACAGACAAUGGCCAGCAGUUUAAAGCAUCCCCUCUGGUACCCAGUGUUUGCUUGAAGCAUCCACAUGACUUCAGGAAAGGAAAUGAGAUGGAAAGGGGGAAAUG